UCCUGGCUCAGAUUGAACGCUGGCGGCAUGCCUUACACAUGCAAGUCGAACGGUAACGCGGGGCAACCUGGCGACGAGUGGCGAACGGGUGAGUAAUGCAUCGGAACGUGCCCAGUAGUGGGGGAUAGCCCGGCGAAAGCCGGAUUAAUACCGCAUACGACCUACGGGUGAAAGGGGGGAUCGCAAGACCUCUCGCUAUUGGAGCGGCCGAUGUCAGAUUAGGUAGUUGGUGGGGUAAAAGCCUACCAAGCCAACGAUCUGUAGCUGGUCUGAGAGGACGACCAGCCACACUGGGACUGAGACACGGCCCAGACUCCUACGGGAGGCAGCAGUGGGGAAUUUUGGACAAUGGGCGCAAGCCUGAUCCAGCCAUGCCGCGUGCGGGAAGAAGGCCUUCGGUUGUAACG
rnacentral:rRNA from 1 species